rnacentral:snoRNA from 1 species
CCCAGCGGUAGUCAGCUACCCGUCGCUGUGCGGUGCCUGCGAUAGUGUUAUGCUGCUGGGAGAGGAAAGGCGCUGCCGAGUGGCUCCCGGCGCCGCCGGCCGUCCUGGCCUUCGGCGGCGGCGGGGUUUGGCAGCGCUCUGCGGCCCUGAGAGUGGAGUAACCCCUGCCCCGUGGGGUUAGUCCUAGAUGGGGCGCAGACAGA